GGCAAGAAUACAAGAGUGGGCUGCCAUUCCCUUCUCCAGGGGAUCUUUCUGACCCAGGGAUUGAACCUGGGUCUCCUGCAUUGCAGGUGAAUUCUUUACCAUAUUGUUUUCCAUCCUCUGGGAUCUUUGCUCAGGACACUGCCCCCUACUUGGAAUGCUCUCCCUUUCCUCAUUUCUACUUAGUAGUAAAUUACUUUUUGUGUCUCAUCUCCUUUAAUGACCUGGGGAUUUGAUGAAGGAAAAAUCCUAGUCAAUUUCAAGGAAAGAUCCUGGUCAAUUUCAUCUUUCUUUAUAUCCUCAAAGCACCGAGCACAAGUCCUGGUUCAUAGGAAACAUUCAGUAAAUGUUUGUGAAAUGACUAAAUGAAUGGCUUUUACUCAGAUACGAGAAGGCUGCACCUAAACAUAUAUUUUCAGGACCUAGGAAAAAUCUCUUCUUUUUAAAGCUAUUUAAAUAACUAUUGGUUUCUCUACUGCAUUUUAAAUAACACUAAUUUUGGUGCUUGCCCAUAGGCAGUGCUGUAAAGUCUAGCUUUCUUUUUUUACAAUCAGUAACACUGAAAAAAUUAAACCCAGAGCAUGCACAUGUGUGCUAACACCAUUCGCUGGUCUCCAAAAUGUUCAGACAAGGCUCAGGCAGCCUCCACCUCCUGCUCCUUCUGAGCAAAAUUCAGCUGAAGACUGUCUGGGUUUGUUGGGAAUGGGGGAGCUUCUGGUGGUUAAUUGAAAUCCACAGACACCUCCAAGACCUUGUUACACUUAACAGUGUUGACCUUCUCUCCUGACCAGGUGUUAAUAAGUAGGAAAUAGAAGAUACUGAAGUUUGGCUCACUCUCUUCUGCCUUAACUCCAGCCAACCAAUAGUGGAAACUCAAGAAUACUCAAAAGGCACAGGAAGAUUUAACAAAAGCUCCCCACCACCUACUUCCCACCACUGCCAGCUCCUGACUCACAAUAAUCUUCCAAAAUGAUUUGCUGUCUUAAGAAAGUCCUCCUGGAGAAAUCGUGUUGCCUGAUGGUAAAUGUGCAGACACUGGAAGCAAGCAGACUUGAGGUGUUCACUGCCAGCCAAGCCGCACACGCCCCAGUGGCUCUCACUCACUCGGGGCCCUGCAGAGGCAUGUGUCCUUUGGAGACAGAUGGUGAGGAUUUGAGUUCCGGCUCCAUCUGCGAUAUCCAAUCUUUCCAGCUUGCCCUGAACUGUCCCAGUUUUAGCACUGAAAGUGCCACAUCCCAGGGAACCUUUCAAGCCCAGGCGAAGCAUGACAUUUGGUCAUCCUCACUCAACUCCUUCGUGGGCACUGGUUCUGACUAACCGUGCCUCUCCAUACCUCCUUUCUGCAACUGUCCUUGGUGAUUGGACAGCAGAAAGUGAGUUCCUGGAGCAUCAUGUCCCAGAAACGCAAUCAGCUCUCAGGGUCCCUCUAACCCUGAGCUCACACAAGGCAGAGCUGCCCUUGAGAAUCUGUGAUCUCAGGGUCACCUCUUUCCUUCUGGGGUGAGGGAGCUUUGACAUGACCACAUUAGGCUGAGUGCUUCAAUGACACCCUCCCCCGUGUUUCUGAGUCCCCCUUUGAAAUCUUGACUCUCCCCAAGCCAAAAUGAACCCGAGGACAAA